AUUGAACGCUGGCGGAAUGCUUUACACAUGCAAGUCGAACGGCAGCACGGACUUCGGUCUGGUGGCGAGUGGCGAACGGGUGAGUAAUGCAUCGGAACGUGCCCAGGAGUGGGGGAUAACGUAGCGAAAGUUACGCUAAUACCGCAUACGUACUGAGGUAGAAAGCGGGGGAUCGAAAGACCUCGCGCUCAUGGAGCGGCCGAUGUCGGAUUAGCUAGUUGGUGAGGUAAAAGCCCACCAAGGCGACGAUCCGUAGCUGGUCUGAGAGGACGACCAGCCACACUGGGACUGAGACACGGCCCAGACUCCUACGGGAGGCAGCAGUGGGGAAUCUUGGACAAUGGGGGAAACCCUGAUCCAGCAAUGCCGCGUGUGGGAUGAAGGCCCUCGGGUUGUAAACCACUUUUGGCAGGAAAGAAAUCGCCUGUGCUAAUACCAUGGGCGGAUGACGGUACCUGCAGAAUAAGCAUCGGCUAACUACGUGCCAGCCGCCGCAGUAA
rnacentral:rRNA from 1 species